UACAAGCUUUCACGUACAGUCUUUGCCAUCUUACGCUGCUGUGGUUCCAAGUCACUCAUGUGUAUAAGCUUGAAGGAACAGGGCAGGUACCUCAGUGGUGUUCCAGUCUAUCUGUUUUUCUCUUGCUGCCUGUCUGGGAAAUAGGAGAGCCCAGGCUCCACCCUGCCAGUGGAAAGUUCAUGGAAACCAUCAGUCAGCACCAGUUGCCUUUAGCAACCAACAACAAAUCUGCCCACACUGGCCACAGAGAUUGAGACUACGUGCUUAUUACUGCAUUGAUGUUCAGCUGAGGAGUCCUGGCAUCUGGAAGACUUCACCUAUAGGAACUUCCAGAGAGCACUUUCAGAAGCUGCAAAUGAGAUUACACGCUGACCAAGUCAUGCUGGAACAAGUACAACAGGAGAACCAGUGCCUGAAUCAGCAAGUUGCCCAUCUGACGGCUGCAUUUAUGGCACUGCAGAAAAUGGGACCAAAACCCUACUGGAGUCUGAAUGGAAUGAAAGGAAGGGAAAGGAAGAACACUGGUAUACCAGCUUUCUCAAUAUCAAUACAAAAAGAGGAAUGUGAAGAGGAGCAUAAAUAUGCAAUAACUGAUACUGUGAAGAAGAGAGCUGACAAAACUUCGUUAAGAGGAGGAAGAUGUGCAUAUCUAAUCAACAGUAGGAUUUCUUGGGGUGUGGUGUCUGAUCACCAGCUGUUGUGAAAAGGAGACACAGCAACAGGGCAUCAUCUUGGCUAAGGAGAGAAUAGAUUGUUGGACCUUCAGCUUCUCAAAACAGGUGAAGAGGCAUCAGUCUGGUUCCUAAGCACAAAGAAGAAGAAAAAAAGACAGGUAAGGAACAGUAUGCUGCUUGGUACUCUUUGCAGUCCUGAAAAACAGUCAUUUCUUUCUCCACCUUUGUUGCUAAACACCUCCUGAGCAAUUUCUGCUGCUCUUGGAUUUUUUACAGUAUUGCAUGUAAAGAAAUCCUGAUUCCAGAAAUCAAGAGGGUUUGCCUUUAGAGCUAAAUCAUCAAAACGUACCUUUUUAUUCUGAACGGAAGGGUGGCCAUUUCCAUUUCAAAUAAGCAUGGGGAAGGCAUAGAGUUUUUGAGAAGUGAACUUGAUAGGGCCAGAUCAGAAGUGCAGCUGUCUAUGCCAGUGCAGCGCUCUGCUUCAAGUGGAAGAAGAAAGCAGUGUGUAAACUAACUGUGGGAGCUGAGAAGGAGAAGGAGAUGCCAUCUGACCUGGUCCUUUCUUCACUAUUGCAGUCACCACCAUUCUUUUUUAUGAGGAGUCCUAGCAAACUGGUGCAGAUACAUUUUAAAUCUAAAUUUCAAGUCAGCAAGGUCCUGUGGCUGAUAGGCAAUCCUUUUGCCUUUCUGUUUGGUUCUUCUGCAUUAGCUAUUGUUAUGUUCUGAGGCUUCUUUUUUAAGCAAUGCAAUAAAAACAACGCAAACAAGCUGGGCA
rnacentral:lncRNA from 1 species